GACGUAGGGCGCGAGCGUUGUCCGGAUUUAUUGGGCGUAAAGAGCUCGUAGGCGGCUUGUCGCGUCGAAUGUGAAAUCUCAGGGCCUCAACUCUGACAUUGCAUUCGAUACGGGCAGACUAGAGUGUGGUAGGGGAGACUGGAAUUCCUGGUGUAGCGGUGAAAUGCGCAGAUAUCAGGAGGAACACCGGCGGCGAAGGCGGUUCUCUGGCAAUGUUCUGACGCUGAGGAGCGAAAGUGUGGAGAGCGAACAGG
rnacentral:rRNA from 1 species